AACAUCAAAUCGUACCCCAAACCGACACAGGUGGUCAGGUAGAGAAUACCAAGGCGCUUGAGAGAACUCGGGUGAAGGAACUAGGCAAAAUGGUGCCGUAACUUCGGGAGAAGGCACGCUGAUAUGUAGGUGAAGCGACUAGCUCGUGGAGCUGAAAUCAGUCGAAGAUACCAGCUGGCUGCAACUGUUUAUUAAAAACACAGCACUGUGCAAACACGAAAGUGGACGUAUACGGUGUGACGCCUGCCCGGUGCCGGAAGGUUAAUUGAUGGGGUUAGCGGUAACGCGAAGCUCUUGAUCGAAGCCCCGGUAAACGGCGGCCGUAACUAUAACGGUCCUAAGGUAGCGAAAUUCCUUGUCGGGUAAGUUCCGACCUGCACGAAUGGCGUAAUGAUGGCCAGGCUGUCUCCACCCGAGACUCAGUGAAAUUGAACUCGCUGUGAAGAUGCAGUGUACCCGCGGCAAGACGGAAAGACCCCGUGAACCUUUACUAUAGCUUGACACUGAACAUUGAGCCUUGAUGUGUAGGAUAGGUGGGAGGCUUUGAAGUGUGGACGCCAGUCUGCAUGGAGCCGACCUUGAAAUACCACCCUUUAAUGUUUGAUGUUCUAACGUUGGCCCGUAAUCCGGGUUGCGGACAGUGUCUGGUGGGUAGUUUGACUGGGGCGGUCUCCUCCUAAAGAGUAACGGAGGAGCACGAAGGUUGGCUAAUCCUGGUCGGACAUCAGGAGGUUAGUGCAAUGGCAUAAGCCAGCUUGACUGCGAGCGUGACGGCGCGAGCAGGUGCGAAAGCAGGUCAUAGUGAUCCGGUGGUUCUGAAUGGAAGGGCCAUCGCUCAACGGAUAAAAGGUACUCCGGGGAUAACAGGCUGAUACCGCCCAAGAGUUCAUAUCGACGGCGGUGUUUGGCACCUCGAUGUCGGCUCAUCACAUCCUGGGGCUGAAGUAGGUCCCAAGGGUAUGGCUGUUCGCCAUUUAAAGUGGUACGCGAGCUGGGUUUAGAACGUCGUGAGACAGUUCGGUCCCUAUCUGCCGUGGGCGCUGGAGAACUGAGGGGGGCUGCUCCUAGUACGAGAGGACCGGAGUGGACGCAUCACUGGUGUUCGGGUUGUCAUGCCAAUGGCACUGCCCGGUAGCUAAAUGCGGAAGAGAUAAGUGCUGAAAGCAUCUAAGCACGAAACUUGCCCCGAGAUGAGUUCUCCCUGAGACUUAGAGUCUCCUGAAGGAACGUUGAAGACGACGACGUUGAUAGGCCGGGUGUGUAAGCGCAGCGAUGCGUUGAGCUAACCGGUACUAAUGAACCGUGAGGCUUAACCUU
rnacentral:rRNA from 1 species